UCGAGUCUCCUGCUUGUAGUCCAUGUGAUGUUCUGCUCUUGUCAGGACCGUGUUACAGCAAGACAAAAGUCACAACUCAUCCAGAUAGUUGAAGACACUUAAGGACUUUUAUUUUGAAGCCUCGGUUCCGGGUCUCGUGCAGAUGCUGAUUUAGCGGGAGGGUUUUUAGUGAAGAAAGUUAGCGGUAAGCACGGACAUUAUGGAUGCUCUGAUAAAAGUUUAUUCUAGUCAUAAAAAGAACUUAAACUAUCAUAAAGAAGAUUUAAAGACUAUUUCCCUUUCUCACAGCAUGCAGCCAACGAGGUAUUUGUUUAUUUGUCUGUAUUUUCUGUCUGUAAACUGCCAUUGCUUCUGUUCCUCACGCUUUCACUGUGUGUCAAGAUAAUGUGUUUGUUGUGUUUUGUUGUUACUGUGUUUAGUUUUCACGGUGGAUUUGAGGAAAAGUCUUCAAAUAAAUCAGUAACAGGAGAUCCGUGUGUGUGUUGAUGAUCUUGGAGACGGUCAUGUCAUCAAUACACUUGUCGAUGUAGCCGGUCACUGAUCCCGUGUUCUCCUCCAAGUUGAUAGAGUCUCCGUUGGUUGCAGCCUCCCUGAACAUAUUCCAGUCAGUGAACUCAAAACAGUCCUGAAGAGCAGAGGUGACUCCUGCUGACCAGGUUUUCUACUGUUUCAGAACCGGUUUAGAGCGUCUGACCAGCGGUCUGUAUGCUGGAAUUAACAUAACAGAGAUGUUGUCACCAUUCUGUGUUGAUGUAAACACACACACCACCACCCCGAGUCUUACCGCACAGAGCUGCAUUUCUGUCGGCAAGAAACAAUGAGAGCCCGGCUAUCUGAAUGGCGGCGUCUGGAACUCUGUUGGUGAGCCACGCCUCUGUGAAAACAGACGCAGCAGUCUCUAAACUCUCGCCGUGUUUACUGGAGUCGGACGUGGUCUGGUUUAUUGUCCAUUGAGCAAACGUUGGACAGAAUAAUGGACGGGAGAGCCGGCCAGCUAGGUUUUGUUUUAGCCUAGCACGGACACCUGCCCGCUUUCCACACCUUCCGCCUUCCUCAAGCACCGCUUGCGACAUCCCCUCUCCUGGCCACCAGCAUCAGGUGACGCUGAGGUCUGAAGGCCUGGUCUUCACAGCAAGCCGAGGUUCAGAAGUUUUCUGAGUAAAUCAUCAUUAUGGAAGUGGCAUCUUUGGUCCUUGAACAUUUAUGCUGCAGUAAUGAAAUGGAGCAAAGACACAGCCGAGGAGACGAUCAAACAACAUGCUUCAGAUCUCCUUAAUCAUGCAGCAGUGAGAGAGAGAGGGAUUGGUGUUUAUUUAUUCAUUUUUAUCCACUGCAGUGUGAGGUAAUUAUCAGGUUUGUUUAUCACUUUCUCAAACACACACACACACUUACACUCUAUAUUAUUCCACUCCCUUCACAAUUUUCCCACAUUUCUUUUUAGACUGCUGCUACAACAAUAAAACACAAUGAUCUGUUUUUCUGUUAACUGUGUAUUGUGUUUACAUCCACAGCAUUUUACUAUUGCACUUUAUUCAUUACAAAACUGUGUAGUGGUCAGUGCUGCACUGUCCCUGGUCAGUUAUUGUACUGUACUGUACUGUCUU